AGAGUUUGAUCCUGGCUCAGGAUGAACGCUGGCGGCGUGCUUAACACAUGCAAGUCGAACGAACCUUCGGGUUAGUGGCGGACGGGUGAGUAACGCGUGAGAAUCUGCCCUCAGGAGGGGGAUAACAGUUGGAAACGACUGCUAAUACCCCAUAUGCCGAGAGGUAAAAUGAAUUUUGCCUGGGGAUGAGCUCGCGUCUGAUUAGCUUGUUGGUGGGGUAAAGGCCUACCAAGGCUUCGAUCAGUAGCUGGUCUGAGAGGACGAUCAGCCACACUGGGACUGAGACACGGCCCAGACUCCUACGGGAGGCAGCAGUGGGGAAUUUUCCGCAAUGGGCGCAAGCCUGACGGAGCAACGCCGCGUGAGGGAUGGAGGCCUUUGGGCUGUAAACCUCUUUUCUCAAGGAAGAAGAUCUGACGGUACUUGAGGAAUAAGCCACGGCUAAUUCCGUGCCAGCAGCCGCGGUAAUACGGGAGUGGCAAGCGUUAUCCGGAAUUAUUGGGCGUAAAGCGUCCGCAGGCGGCCGUUUAAGUCUGUUGUUAAAUCGUGGAGCUCAACUCCAUCACGGCAAUGGAAACUGUUCGGCUUGAGUAUGGUAGGGGCAGAGGGAAUUUCCGGUGUAGCGGUGAAAUGCGUAGAUAUCGGGAAGAACACCUGUGGCAAAAGCGCUCUGCUGGGCCAUUACUGACGCUCAUGGACGAAAGCCAGGGGAGCGAAAGGGAUUAGAUAC
rnacentral:rRNA from 1 species